rnacentral:rRNA from 1 species
CAGCAGCCGCGGGAAUACGAAGGGUGCAAGCGUUAAUCGGAAUUACUGGGCGUAAAGCGUGCGUAGGCGGUAAGUUAAGUCUGCUGUGAAAUCCCCGGGCUCAACCUGGGAAUGGCAGUGGAUACUGGCUCGCUAGAGUGUGUCAGAGGAUGGUGGAAUUCCCGGUGUAGCGGUGAAAUGCGUAGAUAUGCGGAGGAACACCGAUGGCGAAGGCAGCCCCCUGGGCCAACACUGACGCUCAUGCACGAAAGCGUGGGGAGCAAACAGGAUUAGAUACCCCCGUAGUCCCUGUCUCUUAUAC